UACGUAGGGUGCGAGCGUUGUCCGGAAUUAUUGGGCGUAAAGAGCUUGUAGGCGGUCUGUCGCGUCUGCUGUGAAAAUCCGGGGCUCAACCCCGGACUUGCAGUGGGUACGGGCAGACUAGAGUGUGGUAGGGGAGACUGGAAUUCCUGGUGUAGCGGUGAAAUGCGCAGAUAUCAGGAGGAACACCGAUGGCGAAGGCAGGUCUCUGGGCCACUACUGACGCUGAGACGCGAAAGCGUGGGGAGCGAACAGG
rnacentral:rRNA from 1 species